CAUCAUAAACACUUCGCUCUCCCUUCCACAGGGGUUCCUGACACCUGGCACCAUGGGAUCAACACACAGAUGAACUCAUAACACCACAAACCACGGCUCUGGUGGCAUCUAGAGCAGGGGGCCACGGUGACUGUCUUUUCCACCGCUGAGUCAAGUCAUCUGUCAGGAAAACACCCAGAUGCCCAAAAUGGUGACACGGGGGACCUUGAAGUCUGCAAUGAACAAGGACUGACUGUCCAUCAGUGGCUGAACAAGUGAAGUUGCAAGUGCUGCAAAGCCCGGUUUAAUUUGUGUGGAUUCCAAACGUAGCCUGGAGGCUAAAUAGGUAUUAAAGAACGAAAUGCCAACAUGGAUCAUAACAUGGAUCAACACUAAUGAACUCAAUUAACUAAAUUAAUUCAUUGUAGAAAUUCAUCACAUAGUGUCCUUUUUUUCACGCCAUACUGUACGAAUAAUGAUCUAUCCCUGCACACCAUAAGUCAUUUAGUGUAUUACAUAUAAGACAUACAAGGUAUGAGACAAGAAUUAACAAUAAUAUAAUUAAGGUCACUAAUGUGGCACUGUUAUUCAAUAUCUGUUUAUUGAAUGUUAUCAUCAAAGCUAAUGGAACCUGGCAGUUUGUCCACCAGAGGGCACAAGGCAACACACUUGUUUCCUAGGUUACGAAUAUAAGUUGACCACUGUAGUAACGUUACAAUGGAGUCUGACGUGUGUCUUCAUGGUAGGGUGUUCAUUUUCACAUGAUAAGCAUUACUUCAAUAAUAGUAAAGUUCUUCUUUAAGCCUCAAAA